AUAGCUGAUUGCACCAACAAAUAGUUGAUGCAAUAUUGACUCUGUCAAAUAAAAUUCUAGGUAGAAUUAUGAUAAUGACAUUGUCUGCCUAUAUGUCUUGACCAAAUUACGUGCCAGCAGUCGCGGUAAUACGUAGAAGACUAGUGUUAUUCAUCUUUAAUAGGUUUAAAGGGUACCUAGACGGUAAAUCAAGCCUUCACAGGGACUAAUUUACUAGAGUUACUUACGAGGGGGUAUUAAAGUACUGCAGGUGUAGAGAUGAAAUUCUGUCAUACCUCUUUUCAAAAGAAAAAUUAUGGCACAGGUAUAGGUGAAAGCAUCCCCUUAUGUGAUAACUGACGUUGAAGGACGAAGGCUUUGUGUCGCGAACAGGAUUAGAUACCCCAGUAGUCAAAGCAGAAAAUGAUGAAUGUCAUAGAUUAGAUAAAUAGUUUAUUCUAUAAAUGAAAAUGUAAGCAUUCCACCUCAAGAGUAAUUUGGCAACAUUGGAACUGAAAUCAUUAGACCGUUUCUGAAACCAGUAGUGAAGUAUGUUGUUUAAUUUGAUGAUCCGCAAAAAACCUUACCACAAUUUGAAUAUUUAUAUCUAUCUUUUUUUUUCGUAAAAAAAUAAAAAGGUAAUAUAUUUACAAGCGUUGCACGGCUGUCUUCAGUUAAUGUCGCGAGACUUUGGUUAGUUCCAUUAAAUUAACGUAAACCCUUACUUUAUUUUUAUAUGAAGUAGUUCCCCGCUAUAUUGGAUAUGAUAACAGGG
rnacentral:rRNA from 1 species